CCUACGGGAGGCAGCAGUGAGGAAUAUUGGUCAAUGGACGAGAGUCUGAACCAGCCAAGUAGCGUGAAGGAUGACUGCCCUAUGGGUUGUAAACUUCUUUUAUAAAGGAAUAAAACGAGGCACGUGUGCCUUUUUGCAUGUACUUUAUGAAUAAGGAUCGGCUAACUCCGUGCAAGCCGCCGCGGUAAUACGGAGGAUCCGAGCGUUAUCCGGAUUUAUGGGGUUUAAAGGGUGCGUAGAUGGGUUGUUAAGUCAGUUGUGAAAGUUUGCGGCUCAACCGUAAAAUUGCAAUUGAUACUGGCAGUCUUGAGUACAGUUGAGGUAGGCGGAAUUCGUGGUGUAGCGGUGAAAUGCUUAGAUAUCACGAAGAACCCCGAUUGCGAAGGCAGCUUACUAAACUGUGACUGACAUUGAUGCUCGAAAGUGUGGGUAUCAAACAGGAUUAGAUACCCUUGUAGUC
rnacentral:rRNA from 1 species